GAUGAACGCUAGCGACAGGCUUAACACAUGCAAGUCGAACGGGACUUUUAAAAUGAAGUUUUCGGAUGGAUUUUUAAAAGUUUAGUGGCGGACGGGUGAGUAACGCGUGAGCAACCUGCCUUUCAGAGGGGGACAACAGUUGGAAACGACUGCUAAUACCGCAUAAUGUAUCGAAGCCGCAUGACUUUGAUACCAAAGAUUUUAUCGCUGAAAGAUGGGCUCGCGUAUGAUUAGAUAGUUGGUGAGGUAACGGCUCACCAAGUCGACGAUCAUUAGCCGGACUGAGAGGUUGAACGGCCACAUUGGGACUGAGACACGGGCCCAGACUCCUACGGGAGGCAGCAGUGAGGAAUA
rnacentral:rRNA from 1 species